UACGUAGGGGGCGAGCGUUGUCCGGAAUCAUUGGGCGUAAAGAGCGUGUAGGCGGCCAUACAGGUCAGCUGUGAAAACUCGAGGCUCAACCUCGAGACGUCGGUUGAAACCGUGUGGCUAGAGUCCGGGAGAGGAGAGUGGAAUUCCCGGUGUAGCGGUGAAAUGCGCAGAUAUCGGGAAGAACACCCGUGGCGAAGGCGGCUCUCUGGGACGGUACUGACGCUGAGACGCGAAAGCCAGGGGAGCGAACGGG
rnacentral:rRNA from 1 species